CAGAGGUCCCGAGCGUUGUUCGGAUUCAUUGGGCGUAAAGGGUGCGUAGGCGGCGGGGCAAGUCUGAUGUGAAAUCCCGGGGCUCAACCCCGGAACUGCAUUGGAUACUGCCUUGCUCGAGUACUGGAGAGGGAACUGGAAUUUACGGUGUAGCAGUGAAAUGCGUAGAGAUCGUAAGGAAGGCCAGUGGCGAAGGCGAGUUCCUGGACAGUUACUGACGCUGAGGCACGAAGGCCAAGGGAGCAAACGGGAUUAGAUACCCCGGUAGUCCUGGCAGUAAACGGUGCACGUUUGGUGUGGGAGGAAUCGACCCCUUCCGUGCCGGAGCUAACGCGUUAAACGUGCCGCCUGGGGAGUACGGUCGCAAGAUUA
rnacentral:rRNA from 1 species